UGUAGCUCAGUUGGUCGAGUGCUUGCCUUGCAUGCAAAAGGCCCUAGGUUUGAUCCCCAGCA
rnacentral:tRNA from 1 species